AAUUGGAGGGCAAGUCUGGUGCCAGCAGCCGCGGUAAUUCCAGCUCCAAUAGCGUAUAUUAAAGUUGUUGCAGUUAAAAAGCUCGUAGUUGAAUUUCGGGAUCAAUAUUUCGGUCAUGCCGUUGGUAUGCACUGUUAUCAUUGAUUUCUCACCUUCUAAAGAACCAUAAUGCCAUUAAUUUGGUGUUACGGGGAAUUAGGACUGUUACCUUGAAAAAAUUAGAGUGUUUAAAGCAGGCUCACGCUUGAAUACAUUAGCAUGGAAUAAUGAAAUAGGACAUCCGAUUCUAUUUUGUUGGUUUCUAGGAUCGAUGUAAUGAUUAAUAGGGAUAGUUGGGGGCAUUAGUAUUCAAUUGUCAGAGGUGAAAUUCUUGGAUUUAUUGAAGACUAACUACUGCGAAAGCAUUUGCCAAGGAUGUUUUCAUUAAUCAAGAACGAAAGUUAGGGGAUCGAAGACGAUCAGAUACCGUCGUAGUCUUAACCAUAAACUAUGCCGACUAGGGAUCGGAUGAUGUUAAUUUUUUAAUGACUCAUUCGGCGCCUUACGGGAAACCAAAGUGU
rnacentral:rRNA from 1 species